rnacentral:snoRNA from 1 species
AAGACUAUACUUUCAGGGAUCACUUCUAUAGUUCGUUACUAGAGAAGUUUCUCUGAACGUGUAGAGCACCGAAAACCACGAGGAAGAGACGUAGCGUUUUUCUCCUGAGCGUGAAGCCGGCUUUUGGUGUCGCUUCGUUGCGACUGCCGUCAGCUAUUGAUGAUCGUUCUUCUUUUCUUAUUGGAGAGUAAGAGGGAGAGAACGCGGUCUGAGUGGU